UACAUGGGGUGCAAACGUUGCUCGGAAUUAUUGGGCGUAAAGAGCUUGUAGGCGGUCUGUCGCGUCUGCUGUGAAAAUCCGGGGCUCAACCCCGGACUUGCAGUGGGUACGGGCAGACUAGAGUGUGGUAGGGGAGACUGGAAUUCCUGGUGUAGCGGUGAAAUGCGCAGAUAUCAGGAGGAACACCGGUGGCGAAGGCGGAUCUCUGGGCCUUACCUGACGCUCAGGCGCGAAAGCCUAGGGGAGCGAACAGG
rnacentral:rRNA from 1 species